rnacentral:rRNA from 1 species
AUGGCGCCGUCGUACUCACCGGAGCCGGAGCCGCCGUUCCGGCCGAGGGAAAAGAUAGUGAAGAUGCAGAGGUACUUCCAGAGCGUGCACAGGCCGACGUACUUCAAGGGGCGCUACGACGUGAUCACCUCCGUCGCCAUCCCUCUCGCCCUGGCCGCCUCCAGCAUGUUCCUCGUCGGGCGCGGGAUCUACAACAUGUCCCACGGCAUCGGGAGGAAGGAGUGA